rnacentral:lncRNA from 1 species
UCCAAGAACAUCCCAUGCAACCUUAGUAAAAGGAGCACAUUUCAAAGUAGCUACUGAAGCACGACUAAUUCUAAUUGCUCAUUGGCAUAGCAUUGUGAAAAUACUCAACAACUAUCUGAAGAUAAUGAAAGCUAAUUUUGUAAGCUUACUACAGUUUAGAGUUUAGUUUCAGCUUACUAUAAUUGGUGUCACUAGAUUGAAUUUAUUACUUGUCUUGCAGGUGCCUCCUUACCUUGUUUGCAAAGUGUUCACACAGAUAUUUUCAUUUAUCAAUGUACAACUAUUCAACAGGUUGAUAUUUAUUUCUAGUUAGAGAUGCACAUUUCUAUGGAGUUGAGAUAACACCAGAUCAACCAAAUUCACUUAACUCAUAAUGUUUAUUUAUCCUUUCUAGUCUUUUAUUGCGACGUGAAUGUUGUUCCUUCAGAAAUCCGUGUAGACGGACUCGCGUGCAGGUCACCGAUCGCAAGAAAGAAAAUCUGUUUGCUAAACACCACCGCCGGAAAUCAAUGAUCACCACCGCCGGAAAUCGAUGAUCAUCACAGCCAAGAAUCGAUGAUCGCAAGAACAGCCGGAAGUCUUCACAGAUCGUGGACAGAAGAAAAAACGCAAGACCAGAGCGCAAAAUCACAGAAGAACGCUUGCAUGGAGACCGGAAAACGAAAUCUUCAGAUUCCUCAUGAGGAGAAUCAGUUUCAGUUACAGGAUCUGCAGUUCUUGAAUGUUAACUUUUACAAACUAUUCCACAUUUGUUCAUGUUGCGGUUUAGCUUAUUCCUUGAAAUAUUUCAUUCUUUGAAAACCUUUACUUGUUGCAAAAAAAUGCAGUUCUCUAUUUUUUUUUUUUUUUUUUUAGAGUCAAAAGAUUCCAGAUUACAGGGAUUUCCCAGAUCACAGAUUUUCAGACGGCAAGAUUUCAGAUUGCAACAGAUUCUUGAUAGUCAUUUCAUGGAACAUAUUCCAGCAACUUAUUUGGAAGCGAUUUCUGAUCUGGAUCUUCCGUGACCCUCUAUUUGGGUGACCGAUAAUGCAAAAUGAAAGUGGCUGGACAUAAGAAGAUUAAAGCUAGUCCGGAUUUCUUGUGAUCUCCUCACGACGUGACCUGAAGAUCUCCUUCGUCGUUCUUGGCAUAUGCUAUUUCUUGCACAAUUCUCUGCAAGUUGUGCAUUUUUGGACAGCAAGUCUUCCAAAUCGAUUCUCUUCCCAAAUCGACAGCGGAUUUUCUUCAAAUCGCAAAUUUGUUCAAUUUCAUUCUUGGAGCAUUCUUUAUGAUUGGAGCAUUCACUUCUUGGAAUUUCAGAUUUGGAUUAAUUCAUUUUUCUUGAAUUUCCAGACUUGGAUCAGCUGCAGCAGUGAUUGAAACACUGUUCUAUUGAUUACUGAGAUUUCCAGAUCCGAUACAUUUCUGAUCAUCGGAUCAGAUUGGAGGAUUCACGAUUCUUUCUGCUCGCGAUCUGAUUGGAGGACACUUCUUGCGAUCUAGUUUUGGCGAUUUUUGAGUACAAUUCUUGCGUGUUCUGUUCUUACACGCGACUCUGCUCGAGGCUCACGUUGCUGCGAUUCUUUGGCUUGCUGAUUGGACGGGACUGGAGGGGAAAUUCUGGAGGCUGAAAUCCAUAUAUUUUUUCUUUUUAUUUUUUGCUCUCUUCCAUUUAAACUUUUAUUUUGCUUGCAUUGGUUGUUGUGUCUCCCUAUUCGUCUCCAUACAAACUUAGCUAGAGACACUCUGAAGAGAGGGUCACUAACUUAGAGUUUAAAAACACAUAAAAUAUAGAAAUACAAGGUAGGAAUUGACCCAAGAGCAGGGUUUUUCCCGGAGAAAGAUGGCAUAGACCACAAUUCAAAAGAUGGCAUAGACCACACCCGGGUUUUUUACACCCACCUCAAUUUCUCCUUGUGUAGUAUAGGUUGUGUGUUGUUAAACCUUAAGGAGGUAACUCUCUUACUCCUUGUUCUUGAUGGGCGGCGCAGCGGCGCUCUGGAGACAUUUCAGGAGAAAUGAGAUGUUUGGAAAAAACUUGGAAAGAAAAAGGAAUAUAUUCAGAGGGUCUGGGAAGCAACCUAGAGGUGGGAGUUAUAUAAGGAAGGGGGGUAGGAAGAAAGAGGCUUUUGACUUAAGAAUGAUAGACAACUGGAAGUUGUCCACUCCUGAUUCUGGAGAUCUGAGAAGACUCCAGUUUGUAUAACCUUCAGAGAGGGAGGAGUUUGCUUGUGCUUCCAUGCGGAGGUCUCAGCUUCUCCCCCCUAAGUCAGAGGGAGCACUCAGGAUUUCACUCAGAGUAAUGGGUGAUGUUCCGUCCAUAAGAGUCAUGACCUGUCUAUUGAGGAAAAAAUGGGGGGUUAAUGGAGAUAUUUAAAUCGUAAGAUUCAGGGAUGCUACUUUUGACAUUAGGUUUAGGGAGGCGGCGGAUUAUUUCCGUUCGUGUGAUCGAACAUGGGAUAGAUUAGAGAUACGUUUGGACCAGAAUGGGAAUCGCAUAAUAAUGCUGACUCUGCCAGUCCUGCAUCGCUAGACUCCAUUUGGUUGUUUUGGAGGAAAAAAAUCUGGUCAGUAGAUAUAUUAGUCUCUCACCCUCAGUUAAUCCAUGCAAAAUUGAGAAAUUCAGGAGGUCUGGUCUUAUUUCAUACGCCAGUUUAUGGUAAGGCUACCUCUAGGGAUGACAGAAGGCAACUCUGGAAUCUUUUGCAGCAAAUUGGACCUAUAUCGGCUUCUCCGUGGCUUGUAGGGGGGGAUUUUAAUGAAAUAAUAUCGCCUGAGGAAAGGCAAGGAUCUGGAGCAUAUAAUCAUGGGGGGCCUGCUGAGUUUAUACAGGCUACGGAUAUAGUUCAGUUAUUGGAGCUGGAUUCAAUAGGUGGAGAGUAUACUUGGACAAAUAACUCCCCAGGGCCUAAUUUCACUCAAACAAAUUUGGAUAGGGCCUUUGCAAACCAAAUUUGGAUUGAUACUUGGCCUGAAGCAAGGGUGGAAUUUCACAAUGGAACCAGUGACCACAAAGCUAUGCUAAUCACAUUAUCUCAGGUGGAAAAAGGAGCUAAGCCGUUUAGGUUAUUUAACUCUUGGCUGGAGGAUCCCUCAUAUGUAGAGAUAGUUAAGACAGGCCUAACAAAGCAAAUACGUGGAACUGGAUUGUAUAAGUUACAGCAAAAACUUAAGCAAGUUAAGGUGCUUUCUAAGCAAUGGGCAGCAGAAAAAGGGCAUUCAGCGAAGAGGGUAGCCCAGGCAAGGUUUGAUCUGAAUAGCUCAGUUGAAGCUUUGGAAAAGAAUCCUUUAUCUAUCCCGCUCCAAGAGGAGAGUACAAAAAUAAGGGGAAGAUUAAAGGAGCUUAUGGCAAAAGAGGAGGCAGAUCUGAAACAAAGGAGUGAGGUCUCUUGGUUAAAAUUAGGAGACAAAAACAACAGAUUCUUUAGUAUCGCCACAAAACUAAGGAGAUCUAAAAAUUCAACCUCUAAAAUUAUCAAUACAAAUGGAAUUCAAACCACCUCUAGGGCUCUAUUAGAGGAGAAUAGUGUUAGGUACUUUAAAACUUUGUUCAGUAAUUCAACCACCCAACGACCGGUGGUCCCUGUCAUUUUUCCUAGAGUGGUUUCUGAAGCUAUGAAUAGGUGGCUGCUUCAGGCUCUAUUAGAGGAAGAGGUAAGGGCUACAUUGUUCUCCUUUAAUUCGGGGAAAUCCCCUGGGCCGGAUGAUUUCACAUCGGAAUUUUUCAAAAAAAUUUGGGGAGAUCUUAAAGGCCUAGUAAUGGAGUGUGUAAGGCAAUUUUUUAAAGGCAAACCUUUGUUGAAGUCUGCUAACCAUACUUUCAUCACGCUUGUGCCCAAAACAAACACGGCCUCAGAUAUGUCGGAUUUCAGGCCGAUAUCAUGUGUCAAUUUGAUCUACAAGCUAAUGACAAAAAUAUUAGCAGAUAGGAUCAGUAAGGUCUCUAGUGAACUCAUCUCUCCAAACGAAGCAACUUUCAUUCAAGGAAGGCUCAUCUCGGAUAAUACCAUUCUAGCGGAUGAAAUGGUGCAUGGCUUUGGAAGAAAGAGAACUCCCAAGAGGUGUUGCUUGAGUAUAGAUCUUAAGAAAGCUUUUGACACAGUCAGUUGGGAGGCUAUAAUUGUCACUCUUGAAGCGUAUGAAUUUUCUCCUAUGUUCUGCAAAAUGAUUUGGAAUUGCAUUAUUUGCAUAUCCUCUGCAUCUUUUUCGGUGCUGGUAGAAGGGACUCCAAUGCCUCCCUUCAAAAGCCAGAGGGGGAUUAGACAGGGUGAUCCUCUAUCUCCUAUUCUAUUUGAUAUGGUUAUGGAUGUUCUAAGUAGAUUGAUACUGGAUGGAGUAAAGAACAAAAUAAUAGACACUUAUCAGGUGAAUGGUGCUAGUUCUAUAUCUCACCUCAUGUAUGCGGAUGAUAUCCUCAUAUUUUCAAAGGCAAAUCCGAAAUCGCUUAAUACAAUUAAAACGGUGCUUGAGAAAUUCUCAUUGUUCUCGGGAUUGGAAGUAAAUGCGAGCAAAAGCUCCUCCACUUUCUCAAAAGUAUGUGCAGAAAAUCAAUCUUUACAUAAUAUCUUAGGAUAUACUGUUAAAAGUCUACCUAUAACAUAUCUAGGGUUACCAAUCACGGGAAAGAAAAAGUCAUUUGGACAGUGCUGGAAGCUAAUCCAGUCUAUAGAGGCGCUCCUAGCAAGAUGGAGUGGGAAAUGUCUUUCCUAUGGAGGGAGAAUACAAUUAGUUAAUUGGAUUAUAGCCGGAAAGUAUACUUAUUGGGCGCAAGGUAUGGCUAUCCCUGAUUCUGUGGCUAAGAAGGUGAGAAGGUUGGCUUAUAGAUUUAUAUGGGAUGGAAGGAAAGGGAUCCCGUGGGCCCAAAUGAUCCUUCCCAAGUCGGAAGGGAGUCUAGGGGUUAGAGACCUUCCUAUUAUCACCACUGCAACCAAUAUUAAAAGAGCUUCAAAGUACUGGGAUAAGAGNNNNNNNNNNNNNNNNNNNNNNNNNNNNNNNNNNNNNNNNNNNNNNNNNNNNNNNNNNNNNNNNNNNNNNNNNNNNNNNNNNNNNNNNNNNNNNNNNNNNAGCAAGUGAUUGCAAAAGAGGGUAAAUCGGCCACAUUACCAAGUUAUUAUUCAGCCUUCUCUUAUAUAGAAAUGAUCCAUGCUUUAUAAACUCAUUAUAUAUGUACAGGGACCUCCAAAUGCUGGACGUUCAUAUCUUAGUGAUCAUAUGAAUGGAGUACGACAAGUUCAAGCAAAAUAUCCAGCAUUGCUUUUUAAGCAACAACUCACAGCUCUCCUGGAAAAAAUAUAUGGAAUGUUACGUGAUAAUUUGAAAAGGGAGAUAUCCUCUCUACUUGGACUAUGUAUACAGGUACUUUAUAGCUUCUUCCAUGUACAAAAGAAACAAAUCUUCGAGAGGACAAUCAACAUUAAUAUUCUCAUAUAUUUUGAUGCAGGCUCCAAGAACAUCCCAUGCAACCUUAGUAAAAGGAGCACAUUUCAAAGUAGCUACUGAAGCACGACUAAUUCUAAUUGCUCAUUGGCAUAGCAUUGUGAAAAUACUCAACAACUAUCUGAAGAUAAUGAAAGCUAAUUUUGUAAGCUUACUACAGUUUAGAGUUUAGUUUCAGCUUACUAUAAUUGGUGUCACUAGAUUGAAUUUAUUACUUGUCUUGCAGGUGCCUCCUUACCUUGUUUGCAAAGUGUUCACACAGAUAUUUUCAUUUAUCAAUGUACAACUAUUCAACAGGUUGAUAUUUAUUUCUAGUUAGAGAUGCACAUUUCUAUGGAGUUGAGAUAACACCAGAUCAACCAAAUUCACUUAACUCAUAAUGUUUAUUUAUCCUUUCUAGUCUUUUAUUGCGACGUGAAUGUU